AGUCCAACCAUUUCCACCCGCGUUGUCUGAGUUUGGAAACCUUCGCCUGCCAAAUUCCAAAUCUGACCUCCUAAAGUGUCUUCAACCACAAAGUCUCAGUUGUACAGACCCUCCCCCCACCCCCCAGUUUGAUUGCAAAGUCUUGGAUGGUGCAGUUAUUGUCCACUGCCUGCCUACUUUUGAGGUUUCUACUUUUGAUGAAUACGCAGAGAAGGUAUUCCUACCGCAUCUUCUGCAGCAGCUCCGAGAAACGAGACGUGUUGACAUUGUGUGAGAUACCUACGUUCCUGACAGCUUAAAGGGUGCAACAAGGGGAAAAAGAGGUCCAGGAGUUAGAAGAAAAGUAGCAGGCCAAACAAAGCUUCCAAAGAACUGGAUGAUGUUUCUGCGUGACCCGGACAACAAAUCUGAAUUGUUUUCUUUACUGACGUCAAAGGUAGCAGAAUUCCAGUGGCCUCCUGACAAAGCAGUGUAUAUUACAUCAGGAGCAUCUGUAGUAUCCCAUGGAUCUGAAAAUGCAAUGGGUUCAGUGCAACCACGAAGAGGCCGACGCACGUAUCGUUGUCAAUGUACGCCACGCUCUCGUGGAAGGGGCAGAAUCUGUCCUUGUCAGAACGAUUGGUAAACACUUUCUUUCUUCGAAGAUAYGUUGAUCGUCCAUGUUUAUGGAAGUCACUGUCGAUUCUAUAACUGUUGAAGUGGAACUCCCUGGUGUUUUACUUUUCUUUGCUACUUCAUUUUUGACAAUUUCACGUUCAUUUUAUCAGUCAUUAAUUAGAAAAACGAUCCCAAGAACUAAUAAAAAAGGGAAAAAAUCUU